CAUGCAAGUCGAACGGCAGCAGUGUGAUAGCACACUUGAUGGCGACCGGCGCACGGGUGAGUAACGCGUACGCAACCUACCUCUGACUGGAGAAUAGAGCGAGGAAGUUCGGAUUAAUGCUCCAUAAGACCACGAUACCGCAUGAUAAAGUGGUAAAAGUUCCGACGGUUAGAGAUGGGCAUGCGUGCCAUUAGUUUGUUGGUGAGGUAAUGGCUCACCAAGGCAACGAUGGCUAGGGGGUCUGAGAGGAUGAUCCCCCACACUGGUACUGAGACACGGACCAGACUCCGGGGGGAUGCAUCAGUUAUGGAAUAUUGGUCACUGGACGCAAUUCUGAACCAUCCAUGCCGCGUGCAUGAUCAAUUCCCUAUCGUUUUUAAACUGCUUUUCUACAAUAUUAAACCCCUUGACACUUCUAGGUCUGACGGUGUUGUAGGAAUACGCGUCGGCUAACUCCGUGCCAGUUGCCGCGGUAAUCCGGAGGAUGCAAGCGUUAUCCGGAUUCAUUGGGUAUAAAGGGUGCGUAG
rnacentral:rRNA from 1 species